CCCUUAGAUGUUCUAGGCCGCACGCGUGCUACACUGAGUGGAUCAGCGGGUCAGGUUGCGCGAAAGUGUUUCCUAAUCUUUAAAUCCGCUCGUGAUGGGGAUUGACGGUUGCAAUUUUCCGUCAUGAACGAGGAAUACCUUGUAAGCGCGGGUCAUCAUCCCGCGCUGAAUACGUCCCUGCCCUUUGUACACACCGCCCGUCGCUCCUACCGAUUGAGUGGUCCGGUGAGGCUUUGGGAUCUGAGCGGAAAGAGCGUUUCGCUGUUUCUGCUCGGAAAACUCAGUCGAACCUUAUCAUUUAGAGGAAGGAGAAGUCGUAACA
rnacentral:rRNA from 1 species